rnacentral:tRNA from 1 species
GCCUCGAUAGCUAAGUUGGGAGAGCGUUAGACUGAAGAUCUAAAGGUCACCAAUUCGAUCCUGGUUCGGGGCA